AUGUGGUGAAGACCAGAAAGGAGAUACUUCAUACAUUAUGAUGAGCCUGAUUUCCCAGAGGACCUUGAGAAUCUUAUUACAUUGGAUGAGCUGGAGGAGGAUUCCUCAGGUGAUAACCAAGAUAACCAGUCAACAGAUGAGAUCAAGAGCAGAUCCAAGAGCAAGCCUCAGGACGUGAUCAGACACCUGGUAGAGUGAUCUACGUCAAAAACCUUCCCAGAAGCUUCUAUACGGAUAGUGACUUCCUGAAGAUUGUUAAAGGCUUUGGGAGAGUGCACCGCUAUUUGAUCCUUCGCAACGGUGAAGAGGGCUUCAUUGAGAUGGAGAGGUCUUCUGAUGCGACAAAGGCUUUAAGAGAGCUGCGUUAUAAUGGCUGUAAAUUAUACGGCCAGAAGUUGAUCAUCCUGCGGUCUCAGAAAUACAAAAGACUAACAACAGGGUGGAAACCUGAACUGAUUCUAAAAGUGAUCGGAAGAAAGAUCACUUGAGUACUAGAAGCAGUAGCAGGAUAAGGAGUGGACGGACCAGCAGUCACUCAAAGUCAGUGGCUAAGGACGACAAGACAAAAGAGAAGGACGACAAGACAAAAGAGAAGGACGACAAGACAAAGAAGAAGGACG